UCCAAUGCCCACCUACUGUUUGAUGGAAUUUCUGAAUGAAUUGUCGUUCUUUGGAACAUUUUGAUUCAUGGGUAUGUUUUGAAUGGUCCUUAUGCUGGGAUUUUUCUGUAUCAUCAAUGGUAAUUUCACAUUCCCGUAGGUUGGUGCUCUUAAAUCUUGGUGGGAGAAAUCAAGGUGACAUGUGACUGCCGAAGGAUUUAAGUGACAAAAAAAUAACACAGUGACCGGUUAAACAGUUGUGCUCGUGUAGCGGUGUCUGGUUUCAAGAACGACAUGGUAACAACAGAGCUUCAAGCCUUCAAUUGUUUGCAACAUAUAUGUUUUUUACCAUAGUUUUCAUCAAAAUGUGUUGUAUAUAUAUUGAAUAGUUGUUGAAAUAUUACUUUAAUUGGAUGUAUCAAUGGUGUUAUUUCAUUUAUUUGCAAUUUGUAUUUGCUGUUUUGAAACCUAAUAAGCAACGACUUUAUGUUAUGUUUC